ensembl:lincRNA
AUGGAAAACUGGACUUUAAGUACCUGGGACAAAAGGCAAGGAGCCUGCACUCCCCAGCCAAAGAACCCACGUGGGUAUGAAGACAUGGAUCCCAGGGUUGUUAAGAAGACCAAGGAAAUGAUACACAAAAGGCCACCUUGCCUGACAUCCACAGUAAGUCCCCAACAAGGGUCAUGGCCCUCGCUCUGUUUGUUUUGCUUCAUUUUACCCUGACAUGGGAGAGAAGAUACUGAAACUAGUUAUUCAGAGUUAAGACAUUUGGAGCAGGAAGACCCUUUACCAAAAAUAACAUCCCCCUUGGGCUUUUCUAGGAACCAAAAAUGGGCAUAAAUGAUUAGCCUUUAUAAACAUGAGCAAUUACUCUUCUCGGAGAAAGAACAGGGAGUCCAAAAUUGGGUCCCGUAACAGAGGCCCCUUCACCAUUGAAGGGAGCUGACUGGAACACCCAGGGGUAUUUUUCCCUGGUAUUAAUAGUAUGCAAACCUUGAUUCCCUGGCUCCCUCUUUGGCUCCCCCCCACCCCCCCCCACUGCUUUCUUUCCCUACACUCUCUUAAUGCUGAACAGCUUUUUGUGUUCACUGCAAACAAAAGGCGCUAAUGACAGUGAUGAAGUUGUCAUUAUUGACCUGCUAGAUCCGUGUUGCUAAACACUAUGGCUAGCCUGUAAUCAUUACUAUGAACAGAGAAGACAAAUAGCUUUCCAUUUGUCCUCAGCCAAUCAGGCUCCUUUGCCAAUAAUGACGGUCCCCAGCCUCCUCCUCCCCCAGAAGAUUCAAAUGGCUUUGGGCUCCGGCUGUCUGUGAUAAUAGAUAAAACUCUCCAAGGAAAAAACGAGGUUCACAGUGUUCUCUUCUCCCUUUUCUAUGACUUUCCAGGAUUCUGGAAUCUGUAGUGGAGACGGAGGCGUGGAACUUUAUUCUCUCCAGUGUUAAUUUCGAUCACCACUUCAAAGGGAAAAGCUAACUGGAGAACCAACUGGUCUUUUUGUUUUAGAUUCUGGGCUUUGCUGGGACUACCUACUCACAGUGAGAAUCCCCAGACUAAGGGGGUGGGGGAGGACGGGUGAGCUGUGAGGGGUGUUCCAGGAAAUUAAUCAAAUACACAUAAAAAAAAGUCAACUCUAAGACUCACAUGAGAUGAUUUUGGGAGCCAGCAGAACAUGCCUGACCUUAAUUCAUUAAUAGCCCAAUAUUUAAUUUAGUCACUGCUGAGAGAGACAUGAUUGUUUUGUAAACAAUACGGUAAGUAUACUUGCUACCAAAGAAGCACCACACACGACUGGCAUUGGACCGGGUUUCUUGCCAAACUUCUCAUUCUGUAAAGUCUGCAGGAAUUUCUAGCCACCAUCCCUUUUCACCUGUAACCUUGAUCACAGUCCUCCUGCUCGUAACACGCAUCCCACCUGCAUUUCCCGCUAUUUUAUCAGCAAAGCUCCAGGAACUUUAAACAGAGCAACCCUAUACUUGAAAAGAUCUGUCGGAAAGUAUGACAUCAAGCUUUGGUUUGCUUGGCCCUGAAGUGAUGUUCAAUGCAGAAAUACCUAACUUUAAAUACGCAGGUGGAAACUCAUUUCUCUGCCAGAGCUCGGGCUCAGGGAGUGCCCCUCUAAAGAGAAGUGGAAUUGGGCCGCCUGGGUGGUCCAGUGGGUUAAAGCCUCUGCCUUCGGCUCAGGUCAUGAUCUCAGGGUCCUGGGAUUGAGCCCUGCAUUGGGCUCUCUGCUCAGCAGGGAGCCUGCUUCCUCCCCUCUCUCUCUGCCUACUUGUGAUCUCUGUCUAUCAAAUCAAUAAAUAAAAUCUUUAAAAAAUAAAAAUAAAAAUAAAAAAAUAAAGAGAAGUGGAAGAAUGUUGUUGUUCAGCAUCUGGGCUCAGGAGCCAGAUAACCUGGAUUAGAACCCCAGUGCCGGGACUUAGCUGUG